rnacentral:rRNA from 1 species
AUUGAACGCUGGCGGCAGGCCUAACACAUGCAAGUCGAACGAGUGGCGGACGGGUGAGUAAUGUCUGGGAAACUGCCCGAUGGGGGGGGAUAACUACUGGAAACGGUAGCUAAUACCGCAUACCAUCGGAUGUGCCCAGAUGGGAUUAGCUAGUAGGUGGGGUAACGGCUCACCUAGGCGACGCUCCCUAGCUGGUCUGAGAGGUUGACCAGCCACACUGGAACUGGGAACGGGUCCAGACUCCUACGGGAGGCAGCAGUGGGGAAUAUUGGACAAUGGGCGCAAGCCUGAGGCAGCCAUGCCGCGGGUAUGAAGAAGGCUUUCGGGUUGUAAGGUACUUUCAGCGAGGAGGCGUUACUCGCAGAAGAAGCACCGGCUAACUCCGUGCCAGCAGCCGCGGUAAUUC